UGGCGCUGUUGUAACAAACUUCAUUCAUAUUAACAGAACGUUAAAGGAACAAUACUCUGCAAAACCCCCAAGGCAGAUGGUGCGAUGCUCUGCAUAUCUUUACCUGGCUCUGUCUGCACACUCCCUUGCCCCCUCCUAUCACUGCGCUGCAGUUUAGAGAGUAACUCAAACACCUCACGUAUGCUCUGUCGGGAAAUGACAGCAAAUAUAUAUUUCUAUAUAUUUCUAA